rnacentral:rRNA from 1 species
UACGGAGGGAGCUAGCGUUGUUCGGAAUUACUGGGCGUAAAGCGCACGUAGGCGGAUGUGUCAGUCAGGGGUGAAAUCCCGGAGCUCAACUUCGGAACUGCCUUUGAUACAGCACGUCUUGAGUCCGGAAGAGGUGGGUGGAAUUCCUAGUGUAGAGGUGAAAUUCGUAGAUAUUAGGAAGAACACCGGUGGCGAAGGCGGCCCACUGGUCCGGUACUGACGCUGAGGUGCGAAAGCGUGGGGAGCAAACAGG